UACGUAGGUGGCAAGCGUUGUCCGGAUUUACUGGGCGUAAAGAGCGCGCAGGCGGCUGGGCAAGUCCGAUGUGAAAGCUUCCGGCUUAACUUGGAAAAUUGCAUCGGAAACUGCUCGGCUUGAAGGUGGGAGAGGGUAGCGGAAUUCCCGGUGUAGUGGUGAAAUGCGUAGAUAUCGGGAGGAACACCAGUGGCGAAGGCGGCUACCUGGCCCACUCUUGACGCUGAGGCGCGAAAGCUAGGGGAGCAAACGGG
rnacentral:rRNA from 1 species